rnacentral:rRNA from 1 species
CCUACGGGUGGCAGCAGUGAGGAAUAUUGGUCAAUGGGCGGAAGCCUGAACCAGCCAAGUCGCGUGAGGGAUUACGGCCCUACGGGUUGUAAACUUCUUUUGUCAGGGAGCAAGUGGGUCCACGCGUCGGCUUACCGAGAGUACCUGAAGAAAAAGCAUCGGCUAACUCCGUGCCAGCAGCCGCGGUAAUACGGAGGAUGCGAGCGUUAUCCGGAUUUAUUGGGUUUAAAGGGUGCGUAGGCGGAAGGUUAAGUCAGCGGUAAAAUGUCGGUGCUCAACCCCGUCCGGCCGUUGAAACUGGUAUGCUUGAGUGAGCGAGAAGUAUGCGGAAUGCGUGGUGUAGCGGUGAAAUGCAUAGAUAUCACGCAGAACUCCGAUUGCGAAGGCAGCAUACCGGCGCUCAACUGACGCUGAGGCACGAAAGCGUGGGGAUCGAACAGGAUUAGAUACCCCGGUAGUC